rnacentral:piRNA from 1 species
UGGUACUGUCAGCUAUCAGCUUC